rnacentral:lncRNA from 1 species
GCAUCUCCACACUGAAGAAAUACUGUGAAGGUGUGAUCCAUCCCACCUGCAUAUACAAAUAUGAAGUUCUUCUGGAUAAUCCCAUUUUUCCUGCUGCAAGCUGAGGCAGAGCACAAGUACCUCCCAACCACCAUGGCCAGCACACACUUGGACGAGCACGCAACAGGCAACGUUACCCUUCCACUGGGCUUGGAACAGGAACAGCUGGAGGAGCUGCUCUGGUUCUUCCGCAGAGAAGACCCCUCAACAUGGAAUUAUUCUGUUCUUGCGCUUUCCCUUGCGACCAUGAUUUUGGGUCUUGUUCUUCUGACCAUUAACAUUGUGCGAAACAGGAAAAGGAAGAUCCUUGUGAAUGGAGAAGCAGCACAAACCACACAGGAGACUGACCUCGAUGCCAAGCAAGCCCUGAUGCCUGUGCAGGAAUACAGCCAGGUUGAGCCACUACAGCAGCAGCCAGGGCCCCAGGACCAGAGACCAGGGGAUGUGACAGUCCAGUGGAAGGAUGGGACUGUCACGUCCCUGUACACAGUGAUGUCUGAGGAGGCCAUGUAGUGGCAGCUGGAAUCAUCCCAUUUAGGCCUUAAGGAGGAUAUCAGAAUGUCUCAAUUCACAGAGGUGCAAUUUUAAAAAUGCAGUUUAGCCUGGAGAAACAAAAGGGUGAAACAAGAAAGCAGCAGAGUUGCACCUGCAGGAGGGGCCCUGGGCUCAACUCCUGCCUGGCUGGUGUUCCCCCACUGCUCUGGCUGCUUCCAGCCUUCCCUCCAGUGCCAGCUUCAUCUCCUUCCCCAGGUGCUGCAAACAGGUGGGAACUGAGCCAGGGAAGUAAGUGGGAAGCUUGGCCUGCAGUCAGCCAGGGAAAGCACCCUCACAUCCCAUCAGGAAAACAGCAACACUGAAGCUGAGACAUUUUUCUUCUUUUCAGAAUCCUCUUUAUUAAAAUACUUUCCAAAGUGGUUGAUCAAAAUGCCAUAUUAAAUCUCUCUGUCAGUAAGGUCAUAUAUAUAUAUUUAUAUGGCUAUAUGUACAAAUAUACACAUGGAUAUUUUACUCUGCAAAGCAACUGCGACUCCAUGGAGAAGCAGAACAUUUACUCUGAUAGAGCACCUAAAACCAAAUAUCUAGCCCUUGACCCUGGCUUGGGCACAGGUAGAGCCUGGUCUGCUCCAGGAUUCCCUUUGUGUCCUCCACUGGGCAUGUGUAGAAACCAUGAAAUAAUUUAGGACAUUAUUGGAAAUACAUCAGUCUUUUAAACACGGGCUUUGCAGACCACGUCCUUGUCAGCAAAGCAUCUCUUUGCAAAGACUUUGGAAAGGGAUGCUAUAGUGUAAAAUAGUUGAGCAAAAAAGCAGCAAUUUUGGUGUGACUUAGCUUGAUGUGCAGGUAUGAGUUUCAGGCCACCUUAGGCCUUUAAGCAGCUGAAACAGUAUCUGCACCUUUUUUAUCUGGAUUUAAAAAAAAAAUAAAAACUCCUCCUACUUAUUGCUUAGUCGGGUA